rnacentral:lncRNA from 1 species
CUUCAAUAAGAAAUGCCUAGAGGCAUACUGAGUAGUUUGCCAUAAAACCAUGCCUAACAUGUUGCAUAGUUCUCAAUAAUCAUUUUGUGAGUAAAUUGAAGUAUACAAUAAUGAAUAAGUACAGUAUAAAGUGUUCAUAGGACAUUGGCUUUGUGUAGGAAAGUGUAAAUUAGAUUUGACUUACAGUAAAAUAAAACACAUUCUAGGUAUUGGGGGUGUAGCUCAGUAGUACAGUUGUUGCUUACCCUGUGUGAAGAAAGCCCUGGGUUAGAUUUCCAGCACCACAAGAAAUAAACAAAAUAAAAUGUAUUCUACCUCUCCUAAAAAUCCCCUGGAUCCUACAUUUUCAUCCAUCUCCCCUCUCCAAGAACCCCUGAAAACCAAUGUUCAUUUUACAGUCUCUAAUCUUAUAAUUUCCAAAAUGUCAUAUAGUUGGACCAAGCAAUAUGUAGGUUUUUUAUUCUGAGUUUUUUUCUUUAGCAAUAUGCCUUUAAGGUUACCCCAUGUCUUUUUAUAGCUUCCUUUUUAUCAUUGAAUAAUAUAUUCCAUUGUAUGGGUAUACUACAAUUUGCUUAUCCAUUUAUCUGUUGACAGACAUCUUGGUUUCUUCUAGUUUAGGCAAUUAUACAUAAAACUGGUAUAAACAUUCUUUUGCAGAAUUUUGUGUGAAUAUAAGUUGUCAAGCCAAUUGGAUAAUAUUGCUGGAUUGUAUAGUGAGACUAUGAUUAACUUUGUAAGAAACUGCCAAACUUUUUUCCAAAGUGACUAUAAAAUUUUGCAUUCCCACAAGGAAUGAAUGAAAAUUUCUCUGGCUUUACAUACUUGCCAGUAUUUAGUGUUGUGUGUUAGAUCUUAGUCAUUCUAAUGUGUAGUGAUGCCCCAUUGUUAUUUUAAUUUGUAGUUUCCUGAUGACAAAUGAUGAUGUGCAUCUUUUCAUAUGCUUACUUGCCAUCUGCAUAUCUUAUUGAAUCACUCAGUCAAGUCUGGUGGUGCAUGUCUGUAACCCCAGACUUUUGGACCAUUUUUAAAUUAGGCUAUUUUCUUAAUUUCUAGUUAUAGGAGGUGUAUUUUUAGAUACAAGUACAUAAUAUAUAUAAGUUUUGCAAAUAUUUUUCCCUGUGAGUUGUGUUAUGAUUCUUUUAACAGUGUCUUUCACAAAGAAAUUUUAUUUUCCAUUGUUUGUGUGCAUGUAUGUGUGUGCCUUGUACAUGCCAAUCACAUUCUCUACCAUGUUGUUGUUGUUGUUUUGUUCUAUUUUGUGUUAAGUUUUUUUGUUGUGUUGUGUUGUGUUGUGUUUUUGUUUUGUACUGGGGAUUUGUGGAUUGAACUCAGAGAAAUUUUAGUAAAGUCUAAAAAUCUAAUAUCAGUUUUUCAUCCAGAAAAUGUGAUUUUGUUUAUUUAUUUACAUAUAGAAGUCUAUUUGGGCAGUAUAAUUUGUUGAAAGGCUAUCCUUCCUCUACUGAACAGCCUUUGUCAAAGAUUAGUUACUUAUAUGUGUGUGGUUCUAUUUCUGGUAUCCCUCUUCUGGUCUGUGAUCUAUGUAUCUGUCCUUGCAUUUAUUUUUAUAUAGUGUUGGAGAUCAAACCUAGAACUUUGAGCAUACUAGUCAAUGCUCUACCUCUGAGAUGUAUCCCCAGCCAUAUAUGUCUAUUUUACCAAUAUAACAGUGUCUUAACUACUAUAGCUUUGUAAUAAGUCUUACAAUCUGAUAGCUCCCCUGACUUUGUUCUUCAGUGUUAUGUUGACUAUUCUUGAUUUUUCCUUUUCAUAUAAACCUUAGAUCUAUCUCGUCAAAAGCUACAAAAAUAGUUUCCUGGUAUUGGGGUUGUGUUGAAUCUAUAAGACUAGAUUGGAAAGAAUGGACAUCUUAACAAUACUGAGUCUUUCAUACAGAGUAUCUACAUAUUUAUAUAAAUCCCAGGUUAAAUAUAUUAAAUAAUGAAAGGAGUUUAUUACUCACAUAAUUUAAAGUGCCUAAGAUAACAGCUUUCAGGCAUAGUUUCAUGAUUUAUCCUAGUUCAAUGAUAGAGCAUUUGUCUAGUAUGUGUGAGGCCAAGGGUUCAAUGGUCUUAUAAUCUAAUCAUGUCACCUUACCACUUUAUCAUCUUACCCCACAGAGGUCAUAUUUGACUUUGACUAGCUUUCCUCCUGGCAUUGAGUGGAGUUCUAGCAUUUCAUGCUUCAUGUCUACCACAUCACCCUAAAUUUUCUUCAAUCAUUUCUAACAAUUGACCUGGAUCCAUUCCAAUUUGACUAAUAGAGGUCACAUGCCCAUUCUUGCAAUAAUAUUUCUAUAGUAAAUCAUAUAUUUCACUCUAGAUACUAGACGGGGGUGGAGUCAGCUUCCCAAGAAGCACAUAGAUUUCCAAAUGGAAACUGGAUGCUAGUGUAAUAUUCUGAAAAAUCAAUCACAUAUGCAAAACCACGGCUUCAAUGCUCAGCACCACACAUACAUAUAGAAGGUGAAUUUAGGAGACCGGGUUGUG